AAUCUGUGUUGUAGACACUGGCGAAAUAAACCUUUGUAUUGUUCCCAAGCUUGUGAAUAGCAUUCUGAGUCCAUUUGCAGAAAAGUAGUGAUCCCGUUCCUUAGCUU
rnacentral:snoRNA from 1 species